UACGAAGGGGGCUAGCGUUGCUCGGAAUCACUGGGCGUAAAGGGUGCGUAGGCGGUUCAGUAAGUCGGGUGUGAAAACUCUGGGCUCAACCCAGGGACGCCACCCGAUACUGCUGUGACUUGAGUACGGUAGGGGAGUGGGGAAUUCCUGGUGUAGCGGUGAAAUGCGCAGAUAUCAGGAGGAACACCAGUGGCGAAGGCGCCACUCUGGGCCGUAACUGACGCUGAGGAGCGAAAGCGUGGGUAGCAAACAGG
rnacentral:rRNA from 1 species